UUUAAAGUGCUGGACACGUAAAUACUCAACAGAAAUAAAAUUCAUAAUAUCACAUAGUUUAAAGAUUUACAUAAAUGUGUAAGUAAUGUUUUAGUGAUGGGAAGUGAAUUAGUGACCUAUUCCAGGAAGAAACUUCUCUGAUGGACCAAGUAGCAUCAUAAGUGUAUUGACACAGUGGGACUGUUUUAGAUUCAAAGCUCAACAACCACAAGAUGGUUUACAAGACUGCAGCCUGUAUUUUCUGUGUUUCCUGUGAUCAAUCUAUAUUAAAGACUUUUUGGUCAUUAUUAUUAGUUUAUUUUCUUCAUAGAGUAAGUCUCUGUUACUUGAACACUCUGAAGCCUUCUUUCAACAUCAGCAAAUCAUUAUCUAAAAAUUUCAAGGAGACACACUUUAAGAAUAUUUUCAGACAGCUUUAGCUUAACAUUUAGGUAAUAGUGCACCACUGAUAUGAGUGAGAAGUGAAUGCUGAUACACCAGUAGGAAUCUAGAACCUAAGACAGAAGCCUAAGCAACUCCUUUUAAUUGUUUCUUUGUCUCCUAAAUUACCUUGUCAUUUAAAAAUGAAAAUUACCUCACUGAAUUUACAGAGAAUCUAGAACCAUAGAAUGAUUUGGGUUGGAGAAUGGUGGACCUAACUUACUUGCCCAUCUGUGAUAAUAGUGCUUGUUAUUAAUCUAACUUUUUUGAAGAAUUUCAAGAUCCUUUUUUGGAGGCUUUUCUAUACUAAUUUGUUACAUAUAAUCAAUCCUGAAAGUAACUAUGAGCCAGUCUAUUUCAGUAUAAGGAUUGAUUAAAAGUAAUAUUUAUCUGAUUCAGAAACUUUCUGAUUAUCUACCAUCGGAAUUUUUAUUUGCUAGCACUUAAAUGACAAGUAGAUGCCAAUCCAGAUAUUAUGUUUACAAUUGUUAAAUAGGUAAUUUCAGGAAGAUUUCUUUUUUACAUUUAUUCUUAACAAUGAUACCAAGUUUUCUCUUAUGUUACUUGGUAACUUACUUCAUUGUGUCUCUGACUCCAAAUGGCAGUUUGGAAGAGUUGCUAGAUGUGGUGUAGUAUACCAUUUUCUCUGCAAGACAAAAAAGAGUAGUAAGAAAAAUUAAUAUGGUACUGCAUCAACUAUGACUUAGUUUUCUAAAUGGCUCACCAUGAACCAUAUUGCAUGCCUGCUAAAUAUGUGAGAUUUUGUAGCAGAUGAAGCACUUACGUGUAUUUCCUGCUUUUCCUUGCCAUGUUAUGCUUUCAAAUUCAGCCCCACCGAUUUGUUAUUUACUGAUUUCCCUUACAUCUACUUAUCUGUGUCUGUCCUCAUGGAAUUAUCUGCCAAAUACUUAUUGCAGUGUUUUUAGUACAAAUAAUUAGACAGUGCUUUUGUUAUAGCUUAAUAAGACUGAGUAGAAUUACUGAUUCAGCAGUUUCAGAGAUAUCUAUGAUCAGUAAUCUUUGGAUAGAGUAGGAAGUAUUUCAGCCUUAGCUCAAGUAUUUAUAGUAAAAAAUUAUGUGCCCAGCUAAAGCUGAGUUUUCUCAGUGACCCUCCACUGGAUUCUCUCCAGUUCCCUGUCUGCCUUCAGCUGCGAGCACAGCACUCCAAAUGUGGCCUUCACAGGACAGAGGGGAGGAGAAACCAGCCUUAGCCUGCUGGCCAUGCUCUGUGCAAUGCAUCUGAGGGUGCCAUUGGCCUUCUUGGCCACAAGGGCACACUGCUGGCUCAUGGUCAGCCUGUUGGCCACCAGGACACCUUAGUCCUUCUCUACAGAGCUCCUUUCGAGCAGCUCAGCCCCUAACCUGUACUGAUGCAUAUGGUUAUUCCUCCCCAGCUGUAGGGGGAGGACAUUUGCCCUUGUUGAAUUCUGUGCAACUCUCAACUUGUCCAGGUCUCACUGAAUGGCAGCACAGCCUUGUACUGUUGACACGGUACAGUUAAGAUGAGGUGAAUUCUCAGCAAAUACAGCAGACUUUUUGUAUACUUUGAAUUCAGUGUGUAUUAUGUUUCAUUACUGGAGUUACGUCAUAGUCAGAAAUGAGACCAUGAAACAUCUUAACUAGCAAACCAGGCAAGUAUUUGUUACAAAAAAGAUGUGUCAUUCAAUCCAAGCUAGUAGUUCAUAUGUCAAUUUAAGUUUGUAUUGGCAUUUCAGCAGGUGAAAUUGUAGGGGCAAAUUCCAUUGAUGUGGUAGGUAUUAACUAUGAGGUCAAAGCUUAUGCAUUUGAGAUAAACCUGAGCAUGAUUUAAAUUACCAAAAAAAAAAAAAAAAAGUCAUAUGAAUCAUGAAUAGUGAGGUUGCUCUCUCUUCCCUGGUUGCCCAUCUGUUGAUCUACUUGGCCUUUCUAGACUGCAAACUCUUUGACGGGGAGACUGCGUUUGUGAAACACUUUACACAAGUUCACACCAGCAAGAACUUUGUAAGAAAUCUUAUGAAGGCUAUUUUUGUUGCUGUGAGCAUAGGUGUUGCUCUCCCCAGUCACAAAAAUCUUACUGACAAGUCUGUUACCUGCUUUGAGGCAGAUGAAAGCUAAUUCUCACUAAACGGAAGCUUACUUUUUGCUCUCGGUUUUUCUCACAAGCAGUGUUUGUAAAAAUUGCCAGCUCACAGGAGAAGUGUGAGUUGACAGGGAUGUGGUAAGCUACUUGUUAAGAAAGAGAGGACCAAGCACUGAAUUUGCUGCAAGAAUGGAAGAACUGCUAGCGACGGAGGUCUUCUGCUGUUAUUUCUUUUACAUUGUUUUCCUUUCUGAUUGCCAGGUCUAGUUAUUGGCAGGUGAAGAAUCUGUAUUUUGCUCAUCUGGCUUUCUACAGGAAAAGCAACGUGAAUUAUAUCAUGCCUCUUUAAGAAAACAAAGGUUACCUG